GGGGUCUCAGGUUGCAGCUCUCCUGGGGGAUCUCCACCAUGGCCUGGGCUCUGCUGCUCCUCACCCUCCUCACUCAGGGCUCCGGUUCCUGGGCCCAGUCUCCCCUGACCCAGCCGCCCUCAGUGUCUGGGUCUGCGGGCCAGUCAGUCACCAUCACCUGUGCUGGAAGCAGCAAUGAUGUCGGUUAUAGUAACAGGGUCUCCUGGUACCAACAACAACCAGGCAUGGCCCCCAAAAUGCUGAUAUAUUAUGACAGUAAGAGGCCUUCCGGGAUCCCUGACCGCUUCUCUGGCAGCAAGUCCGGCAACACGGCCUCCCUGACCAUCUCUGGGCUCCAGCCUGAGGACGAGGCGGAUUAUUACUGUGCUUCAUAUUCCAGCAGUAGCACUAACCACAGUGGUGCAAGUUCAUGGGGAAGUCUCCAGCUUGCAGUGGAUUGUGGGACUUCUCAGCCUCCAAAUCCGUGUCAAUUUUUCUUCUAUAAAGCCUGUGUCUCUGAAGAACCCUGA